ACGGGUGAGUAACGCGUAGGAAUCUGCCUUUAAGAGGGGGACAACCCGAGGAAACUCGGGCUAAUACCGCAUAAUCUCUGAGGAGAAAAGCUGGGGCAACCUGGCGCUUAAAGAGGAGCCUGCGUCCGAUUAGCUGGUUGGUGGGGUAAAGGCCUACCAAGGCGAUGAUCGGUAACUGGUCUGAGAGGAUGACCAGUCACACUGGGACUGAGACACGGCCCAGACUCCUACGGGAGGCAGCAGUGGGGAAUAUUGGACAAUGGGGGCAACCCUGAUCCAGCAAUACCGCGUGUGUGAAGAAGGCCUUCGGGUUGUAAAGCACUUUAGGUUGGGAAGAAGCUGAGUAUUUUAAGAGAUAAUUCAGUUGACGGUACCAACAGAAUAAGCACCGGCUAACUCUGUGCCAGCAGCCGCGGUAAUACAGAGGGUGCGAGCGUUAAUCGGAAUUACUGGGCGUAAAGGGCGCGUAGGCGGUUAUUUAAGUUAGAUGUGAAAUCCCUGGGCUUAACCUAGGAACUGCAUUUAAUACUGGGUAACUGGAGUGCGGUAGAGGAUAGUGGAAUUUCCGGUGUAGCGG
rnacentral:rRNA from 1 species